rnacentral:rRNA from 1 species
CUGGGCUUGACAUGCUGGUGUAAGUCGGUGGAAACAUCGGCCCCUCUUCGGAGCGCCAGCACAGGUGCUGCAUGGCUGUCGUCAGCUCGUGUCGUGAGAUGUUGGGUUAAGUCCCGCAACGAGCGCAACUCUCGCUCCCAGUUGCCAGCGGUUCGGCCGGGGACUCUGGGGGGACUGCCGGCGUUAAGCCGGAGGAAGGUGGGGACGACGUCAAGUCAUCAUGGCCCUUACGUCCAGGGCGACACACGUGCUACAAUGCCUGGUACAGCGCGUCGCGAACUCGCAAGAGGGAGCCAAUCGCCUAAAGCCGGGCUAAGUUCGAAUUGUCGUCUGCAACUCGACGGCAUGAAGCCGGAAUCGCUAGUAAUCGCGGAUCAGCCACGCCGCGGUGAAUACGUUCCC